ACUCCUACGGGAGGCAGCAGUGGGGAAUAUUGGACAAUGGGGGGAACCCGUGAUCCAGCCAUGCCGCGUGUGUGAAGAAGGCCUUAUGGUUGUAAAGCACUUUAAGCGAGGAGGAGGCUUACCUAGUUAAUACCUAGGCUAAGUGGACGUUACUCGCAGAAUAAGCACCGGCUAACUCUGUGCCAGCAGCCGCGGUAAUACAGAGGGUGCGAGCGUUAAUCGGAUUUACUGGGCGUAAAGCGUGCGUAGGCGGUCAUUUAAGUCAAAUGUGAAAUCCCCCGAGCUUAACUUGGGGAAUUGCAUUCGAUACUGGAUGGCUAGAGUAUGGGAGAGGAUGGUAGAAUUCCAGGUGUAGCGGUGAAAUGCGUAGAGAUCUGGAGGAAUACCGAUGGCGAAGGCAGCCAUCUGGCCUAAUACUGACGCUGAGGUACGAAAGCAUGGGGAGCAAACAGGAUUAGAUACCCCUGGUAGCGACUGA
rnacentral:rRNA from 1 species